CCCGUGGUAGCAUAGUGGUAGUGCGCCCGGCUGUAGACCGGGAGAUCGCCGGUUCAAAUCCGGCCCACGGGA
rnacentral:tRNA from 1 species